rnacentral:lncRNA from 1 species
GCAGCACAAGCUGCAAGAGCUGCUGUUGAACUCUCAAGAUAUGAUUCUCAGGACAUUGAACGGGAUGAUCCUGGCGAUUCUAGUCAUGGAAAAGGAACUCUGUAUGAUUCCGAUGGGUCAUUGACACCUGAACUUCAAGGCAGAUAUGAAGCUUCAGAGGAGAACAAGCAAGCUGCAAGAGCUGCUGUUGAACUCUCAAGAUAUGAUUCUCAGGACAUUGAACGGGAUGAUCAUGGCGAUUCUAGUCAUGGACAAGGGACUCUGUAUGAUUCCGAUGGGUCAUUGAUACCUGAACUUCAAGGCAGAUAUGAAGCUUCAGAUGAGAACAAGCAAGCUGCAAGAGCUGCUGUUAAACUCUCAAGAUAUGAUUCUCAGGACAUUGAAUGGGAUGAUCAUGGUGAUUCUAGUCAUGGACAAGGGACUCUGUAUGAUUCCGAUGGGUCAUUGACACCUGAACUUCAAGGCAGAUAUGAAGCUUCAGAGGAGAACAAGCUAUCAAAUGAUAGUUUGGUAUUUAACGAAAUAUACACGAUUGACAAUAUCAGUUCUGAAUCAGAAGAUGAAAACAUGAAAGGAAACGGAAGAGU